GUGGGGAAUCUUGCGCAAUGGGCGAAAGCCUGACGCAGCCAUGCCGCGUGAAUGAUGAAGGUCUUAGGAUUGUAAAAUUCUUUCACCGGGGACGAUAAUGACAGUACCCGGAGAAGAAGCCCCGGCUAACUUCGUGCCAGCAGCCGCGGUAAUACGAAGGGGGCUAGCGUUGCUCGGAAUUACUGGGCGUAAAGGGCGCGUAGGCGGACCGUUUAGUCAGAGGUGAAAGCCCAGGGCUCAACCUUGGAAUUGCCUUUGAUACUGGCUGUCUUGAGUACGGGAGAGGUGGGUGGAACUCCGAGUGUAGAGGUGAAAUUCGUAGAUAUUCGGAAGAACACCAGUGGCGAAGGCGACUCACUGGCCCGUUACUGACGCUGAGGCGCGAAAGCGUGGGGAGCAAACAGGAUUAGAUACCCGUGUAGUCC
rnacentral:rRNA from 1 species